rnacentral:lncRNA from 1 species
UUUUAAAGUUAUUCCUUCUUUAUUUUUUUAAUCACAGCAAUCCUCCCCUCAUCCAUGGUUUCAUUUUCUAUGGUUCCAGUUACUCAUGGUCAACCAUGGUCAGAAAACAGGACAAACUGAGAGUAAAAGAUGCAGGAAUAAAACACAGAAAUCAAAAUAAAGGGUUUACUGCUGAAAAAUCCGCUUGAACAAGCCUGUUAAUGUGAUCUUCCUGAAUGAAGCCAGCUUACCCCUAGGCCUCCACUGUCCCUCAGGAAAGAGAACACGAAAACUGGAACUCUCUGCAGAAAGGAGGAUCCCAAAGAAGGGGCCAAGCUGUACAUUUAUCAAUCAGGAAAGCCACUCCACCCUCCAUGGCAGCCCCUACAAUUUGAAACAAGUAUUCUUCCUAACAUAACACAUUAAUUCAUGAGUUUAUCAGUUCAUUUCAUUUUUACUUUGAGAUUUUUGUGAAUAACCAUAGAAAAAUCUAUUUCACCUGGCAAUAAAUAGGAAAAGGCACAGCAUAAUGUUUAAAUACAGAGAAUAUUGUUACAUGUAAGAUGUUGAUUGAAUGUUCUAAAUACAAUUUGAAAACUGCGUGAGAGGAGGAAAACGUAUAUUCAGAAGGACUUAGGUGAAUCCAGAUGAAUAUUUUCAUGACAGGAUGUUGGCUAUUGAUAUGAAGAAAGUAGAGGAAUAGACUUGCUAAAAGUUAGAGGAGUCUAGUUUAUCUUCCAAGAAGCUUUGCAACCCUGUAAUACUGUAGAAAUCACAAAUUUGGCAAUAAUUUUAAGAUAAUUUAUGUUCAUUUUUUAUGGAAUGCCAUGUUUAUCUUUUUAUAUAUGACAUUUUCUGGUCAGUAGUAAUAUAUAUAUCCUUUAUUAAAAUUGGAAAAUAAAUACAAACAUUUUAUUUAUUUAUUGGUUAAAAAAUUAUUAUGCUCAUUCUUUUUUUUUUUAACCAGUAAGGAUCUGGAUAAAGAAAAACAUUUUAGAAAACCACUUGUAGAGUACCAUGAACCAGUCUCUCUUCUCCAUUUUAAAAAAUUUAUUGACUCACUUUUUUUCCAUAACUUUUUGAGAUAUUAUUUCAACCACUUUGCAUUUAGAGAAAAAGAGUCAGAGAGUGAUUAAGAAAUCUGCCCAAUGCUAUACUGAUAGAAGCUGGGAGAACUGGGAUUUGAGCUUACAUAGGCUAGUUCUAGCAUUUGUGAAGUUCUCGCCUAAUAAAAAUUAUCUGUAAUCAUAACCAGAGCAAGUCAUUUCUAACCUCCUGUCUAUAGACACGCGGAUACAUUUGUAAUGUUUUUGUUUGUUUGUUUUUAGCACGACAGAUCAAUUCCUGCUGGCAUUAUAGUUCUUUAACUAUCAUAGCUUCUCUGAUUUUUCAACACAUCUGUCAUCCGUAUUCUGCAGGCAUAGCCAACUCUGUCAGUGUCUCCUCAGGCAAUCAGAAUCAACAGACAGAAUGUAGGACAGAAAACUGGCUGCAAACAUGUUGGAAGGGCUGGAGGAGCGAAAGAGGGAAGAUCUGUUACCUAGAGAUAGUAACUUCCAGAAGUUACCACUAUACUAGUGCAGGAGAAGCAGAAAGGAAGAUGCUGCUACCCAGAGCCCACAGUCAUUGUGCCCCUGAUGCCGCUGGAACCCCACUGCAGCUGCUUUACAGGAAGCAGGGAAUUAGCGCUCUUGCUGAUGCUACAGGUAUCCAGGAUCCAAAAGUCAUCAGCCGCUGUCCCUGUUGCAGCCUAGGGAAACUGUCCCACUGAGGUUGUUGGGGUACCUGCUACUGCAUCUACUGUCUGAACCAUGUUGCCUGAGCAGAUGUCCAGGGCUCAGGCUUGCCUGCUGCUGUUACUGCUGCCACCAUGUUUAUCAGAGCUACUUCAAGAAGAGAAGAAAUCCUCCUCAUUUCCAGUUUUUUCCAGUGCCUCCCAUUGCUUCCCAGAAUGCCAAAUUCUCUUUGAGAGACAGCUGAAAGGAAGGUUUGGAAAAGACUCUGGUGUAAGCAGAUUCUGCUUCCCUGCAAUAGGGGGAAAGCAUAGGGUGGAACUGGAGCUGAGAGCUAAUCACGAAUGAGCAAAUCAGUCUUCAAGACAUUUACCUUUCCUUGAAACGUUUCCCUUCUUUUACCGUGUUUUCCAUGUCAUUAUUUUUCCACAAUUCUGCAUCAUAUUCUGUUAACUAUUAAUGCCCUGGAUAAGUUUAUUUGCUCUUUCUUAGGGUUAAUUUUUCUCCUUUUCUUCGAAGCUUUAGUUUGCAGGUUCAGCUUGUGUGGGAAUUUUCAUCUCCCUCCUCUUCAAGACUCCUUGGAUAUCAGUUUUUUGGUUGCCUUCACCAACUCUCCCCCCACCAUCUCUAGACCAGGGCAUGGUCUUAGUUGGUGGCUUGGACUCCUGUGGCUUGGAGUCUUUGGGGAUAUUAGAGAUCCAGUCACUGAGCUGGCAAAGGGAACACUGUCCUUGCUUCCAGCUUUAUGAAGAACGCUUUGCUCUGUCACCCCACGUGAGUCCAACUCUUGGCUGCCUACACUGCCUGAGGCUUCAGUUCUGGCAUCGUGCUGCAUGUGAUCUAUUAUCCUGCUUUUGAAUAUGCCUAUGACUUUUCUUUAUAUAUUUUUAAAAAUGUUAUUAUUGGUAUGUUUACAGUGAAGGGAAGAAUGUGAAGCAUGAACUCAAGAGUCACAGUAAUGAUAAAUUUUAAUGAUUGUAAUUGUCCUAUCUGUCAUAAUACAUUUAUUUUGUUGAUUUGUUUGGAUUUUCUAGGUAAAUAAUCAUGUUAUUCAAGGAUAAUGAAUGCAGCCACCAUGUAAUCAUCACUGACUCCAUGGCCAUGAGAAAAGAGACCUAAGAAAUGAUGCCCAUCCAGAAGAGUGAAGACUUCCUGAAAAUGUUCUUUUAACCUAAGAUGUAGGUUAAGAGGAGUGAAAAAAUGUUCUGUUUCUGACUGAUGAUGGAGCAACAAAGGUAUGUUUCUUAUUAAUAACACUGAGCAGUUAGGAAGCAGAUGUGCCUCUCCAGGGAAACUCACAAGUGUCCACUGACCUAGUAUCUGCGGAGAACCAUAGCAGUUGUGGUCUCUCUCCCCAGCUUCAAGCAAGGGCAACUUUUCCCUGUGUCUGGUUCUUUUGCUGUCACCUGAAGCCACAGAAAAUGAUCUGAACCUGCUCAGUCCCUGGACAUAUCUGGGGAAUACAAAGUCUCAGAGUCGCUCUCUAAGAAUUGCCAGCAUGUUCUAGAGAUUCUUUAGAUGCAUAGCUGCAUGGAGCAAAACAGGGUCAGGGGAUGUGUGCCGAGGCCAAGGUCUUCUCUUAUGUUUCAAAAAUAUUAACAUUUCAGGCCUGUCUUCUUUUAAAGGAUAGCUCAUGUAUAUGAUUUUUUAAAAAAAAAUCUACCAAAUCAAAUAAAGAAGUCCUGGGAGUUCACCCGGUGUUUUCUACAGAACCAAGGUAUUCAUAUUGAGAUCCUUCAAUAUAAUCAGCUAUGUGACCUUGGUUAAGUUAAUUAAUGCCUCUGAAACUGAGGUUCCUCAUCUGUGAAAUGGAGAUAUUCAACAAAGCACCCUGUGGGGAUUAGAUGAGAUUGCACAUCUGACUGCCUAGAGUAUAGUAAGGGGUCACUGUUUCCUCUUCACUCCUCAGGAAAAUUUGAUUGAACAAGGAUAGAAACUUUGAUUCUAGGGACAGAAGGUCUUCAGAAGUCUUUGAGGCCAGAGGGCCUGUCAUAGAACUGCAGUGUAGGUUCAUUAAAACGCUGUCAUCCUAAUGUUUAUCCACAGUAUCUAAUAGAUUUAAAAGGAAGACAAUAUGGCA